rnacentral:rRNA from 1 species
CACGUAGGGGGCGAGCGUUGUCCGGAUUUAUUGGGCGUAAAGAGCUCGUAGGCGGCUCAGUAAGUCGGGUGUGAAACCUCCAGGCUCAACCUGGAGACGCCACUCGAUACUGCCAUGGCUAGAGUCCGGUAGGGGACCACGGAAUUCCUGGUGUAGCGGUGAAAUGCGCAGAUAUCAGGAGGAACACCGGUGGCGAAGGCGGUGGUCUGGGCCGGCACUGACGCUGAGGAGCGAAAGCGUGGGUAGCAAACAGG